UACAGAGGUCCCAAGCGUUGUUCGGAUUCACUGGGCGUAAGGGGUGCGUAGGCGGUCGGGUAAGUCUGAUGUGAAAUCUCACAGCUUAACUGUGAAACUGCAUUGGAUACUAUUCGGCUAGAGAGUUGGAGGGGGGACUGGAAUUCUUGGUGUAGCAGUGAAAUGCGUAGAUAUCAAGAGGAACACCAGUGGCGAAGGCGAGUCCCUGGACAACUUCUGACGCUGAGGCACGAAAGCUAGGGGAGCAAACAGG
rnacentral:rRNA from 1 species